rnacentral:lncRNA from 13 species
AGCACAGUAAAGCCUCUCUUGCCUUCAUUACUGCAUCUGCCAGGCUUUCUUCUAUAAAAAUGAUUCCAGAAGUAUGAAAAUAUUAGUGUAUAACUACAUCUUGGCUCUGAAAAAGAGGUGCUUGUAUCUGACUUACAUAAAGGAUGCAAAUUCUGUGACAAAAAUGGUUCUGUUAGGGAACAAAGAAGGACUUUUUAAUAAACUUUGCAUCUGAGAUGUUAUUUUUAUGUAUUGCUGUUUUUUUCCCCAGAACAAGCAAUUUUUGUGUCAAGGACCUAUGUUAGGACAGGUUCAAAAGUGAAGGGUGUUCAGUUUUGGCUGGAAAGGGAGGUGAUCAGGGAUUGUAAAAUCACUGUGCCGGUGUGUUAUAUAAGUAAAUCUUCUCCAAGACACCCUGAGAUAAACAGCAUUACUGCAGUUUGGCAAAUGGGAAAUGGAAUCCAGUAUAUAUCCAAAGGAACUGAAAUCAGUGUGUUGAAGAGAUACCUGCACCCCAUGCUCACUGCAGCAUAAUUCACAGGGAACAAUCUAAGUGACCAUCAACAGAUGAAAAAGAAAAGUAACAGGACUGUAUGUGAAUUACCAAUGAUCUUUCAGAGGAACUCAUAUUUAAGGGCCACAGGGGGAUUGAACAUUGAAUUCUACACUGCAAUCUUUAUAACAUUGGACCUGAACCAACUGAGCUAUUCACUGGUUUUGAGGGAGAAAACAUCUAGAGAUCAAAACAAGCUUCUCUCAAGAUCCUGCCACAAUCAACAUAUGGAACAGUUUCCACCACUCACAAGAAGCCCCCGCAUGCUGUUCUUUUGGGAACAUGCAAUGCCUUUUCUGCGGACUGCAUCCCGAACAGAAGCUGGAGUCAGUACAGAUCUUUAAAUCCCUGUUAUUUCCACUGAAUUUUGG